rnacentral:rRNA from 1 species
GCGAGUGAGCGGGAAGAGCUCAAAUUUGAAAUCUGGCAGUCUUCGAUUGUCCGAGUUGUAAUCUAUAGAGGCGUUUUCCGUGCCGGACCGUGUCCAAGUCUCCUGGAAAGGAGUAUCAAAGAGGGUGAUAAUCCCGUACUUAACACGACCACCGGUGCUCUGUGAUACGUCUUCUACGAGUCGAGUUGUUUGGGAAUGCAGCUCAAAAUGGGUGGUGAAUUCCAUCUAAAGCUAAAUAUUGGCGAGAGACCGAUAGCGAACAAGUACCGUGAGGGAAAGAUGAAAAGCACUUUGGAAAGAGAGUUAAACAGUACGUGAAAUUGUUGAAAGGGAAACGAUUGAAGUCAGUCGUGUUCUUUGGAUUCAGCCAGUUCUGCUGGUCUACUUCCUUGGAACGGGUCAACAUCAGUUUUGUCCGGUGGAUAAAGGUAGUAGGAAUGUGACUUCUCCGGAAGUGUUAUAGCCUAUUAUCACAUACACUGGGUGAGACUGAGGACUGCAGCUCGCCUUUAUGGCCGGUCUUCGGACACGUUCGAGCUUAGGAUGUUGACAUAAUGGCUUUAAACGACCCGUCUUGAA